GUCCAAUAGCAUUCAUCCAAGCUGUGAUAUUCUCUCUUGGCACCAGGGGCUGACUCUUCAGCACAACGUUCAGUAGCGCAUUGCCCACAUCUGUUCCUGGAACUGCCAGUGCCAUGAGCUCAACACAGGUAACAUGAAGAGCGUGGGCAGCUGGGUUAGGAAACUCAUUGAAUCUCCAGUCACAAUUUGGAAAUGGACCAGGUGAUUUGCCUGCCAUAGUGUCUACUAGUCUUCCAAUGAGUUUGCAAUAGUAAGUGUCAUCAGGAACCCACGGAUUAUCUUCUCUGGCAUUCAUAGCACAUUUGAGA
rnacentral:lncRNA from 1 species